AGUAAGCUAUACGACAGACAGCCUUUUUCUUUAAACUGGGCGUUCUAAGUGAAAGCACAAAAGCGUUUCUUUCUCUCCACGUUUGAGCCUUGGAAGGCAUGUGCUGUGCGAGUUCCUUGUUUGUCAGAGCAGCCAGCUGAACAGAAACGGAUAAGUCACAUUUAACACGUGUCCCUGCAAUUUCCUUGCUUUCGCAAUGUCAAGGAAAUACCUGGUUUUGUGCAUCGUGCUGGUUGUGGACGCCGCCACAAGACAUAAUCAUACUACUUCAUGUCGAAGACGUGUAGGAGAGUGCCGGCAGCACCAAAGACCCAACUGUCUCUUCAAAAAUGGGAGUGUAUACUUCGAAUGUUCCCCGAGGACAAGACCUUGUUAUUAUUCGUGGGGUAGAGAGUGCGCCAAUUUGAUUUAUAUUGCGUGCGCUCCUAGACGGGCAUACUGUGAUUGCAAUUGUGUGGUUGCGCCAAAGCAGAGUUUCUCAAGUACACAAAAAAAUUGUACUCGACAACAUUUAUGAUCUAGAAGAAGCGUCUUCACCUCAGUCAUCAACCUUGUCGUGGCGGCGACUGUGCAUGGUGCGAUGGAAUUUCUAAAGGCCUGCUGAAUGUUUAAGCAAGCAAUAAAGUUCUGUUUUUACUAGUAUUCUCA